CCUACGGAGGGCAGCAGUGAGGAAUAUUGGUCAAUGGGCGGAAGCCUGAACCAGCCAAGUAGCGUGCAGGAUGACGGCCCUACGGGUUGUAAACUGCUUUUAUACGGGAAUAACGCGCCUUACGUGUAGGGCUUUGCAUGUACCGUAUGAAUAAGGACCGGCUAAUUCCGUGCCAGCAGCCGCGGUAAUACGGAAGGUCCGGGCGUUAUCCGGAUUUAUUGGGUUUAAAGGGAGCGUAGGCCGCAUGUCAAGCGUGCUGUGAAAUGUCCGGGCGCAACCCGGGCCUUGCAGCGCGAACUGGCGUGCUUGAGUCCGCGGAAAGCAGGCGGAAUUCGUCGUGUAGCGGUGAAAUGCUUAGAUAUGACGAAGAACCCCGAUUGCGAAGGCAGCUUGCUGCAGCGGAACUGACGCUGAUGCUCGAAAGCGCGGGUAUCGAACAGGAUUAGAUACCCUUGUAGUC
rnacentral:rRNA from 1 species